UAAUUUUAUAGUGUAACCUAACACCUGAUAUUUUCAGUAUCAAAAAGAAACUUAAUUCUAAAAUUAU
rnacentral:tRNA from 1 species